AUUUUACUUUUUUAUUUAGCACAUUUCUAAAAUGUUUUUUGAAUUAGCCGCGUUCAAACCUUCAUAGCAAAAUGUAAAUUGCGUGGUCAUAUAAAGACGUGAAGUCGCACGUCUUUUUGUGAAAGCCUGAGUAUAAUGUAUCUAUCCAAAUAGUUUGAUAUCUUGAUCAAUAAUGAAGUAAAUUAGGCACGGAUCAAUGCAGUUACCUGAUGUUCUUAAUUAAAACGACACUGAACAAAGAUAGAAUUUAGACUGUUUGACGGUUACACUAUAUUGAUUGGAUCGUGGCAAAAUGUGCAUCAAAUCAAAAUGAGUCCGAUAACAGAAGGCGAUAAAAAUAAAUAUGAAUUUAAUAUUGGUGGUGAAGAUAACGAUAUGAUUUUAUCAAGAUUGUUUUAAAAAUAACUUUAAUUUUGUAAAAGUUUUUGUUCUAAAAAUGUAUAAAUUAUUUUUUUGGUUUUA